rnacentral:rRNA from 1 species
UCCCUUAGUAACUGCGAGUGAAGAGGGAAGAGCUCAAAUUUAAAAUCUGGUAGUCUUUGGGCUACUUGAGUUGUAAUCUAGAGAAGCAUUUUCCGUGCUGGACCAUGUACAAGUCUCCUGGAAUGGGGCAUCAUAGAGGGUGAGAAUCCCGUCUUUGACAAUGGACCACCAGUAUAUUGUGAUAUGCUCUCAACGAGUCGAGUUGUUUGGGAAUGCAGCUCUAAAUGGGUGGUAAAUUCCAUCUAAAGCUAAAUAUUGGCGAGAGACCGAUAGUGAACAAGUACCGUGAGGGAAAGAUGAAAAGAACUUUGAAAAGAGAGUUAAAUAGUACGUGAAAUUGUUGAAAGGGAAACGCUUGAAGUCAGUCACAUUGUUCAGGGAUCAAUCUUGCUUUUGCUUGGUGUAUUUUCUGAUUCAAUGGGUCAGCAUCAAUUUUGAUUAGUGGAAAAAGACAGUGGGGAAUGUGGCAUCUAUAGAUGUGUUUAUAGCCCUCUGUUGUAUACAUUGAUUAGAAUUGAGGAACUCAGCACGCCGAGAGGCCGGGUUUUAACCACGUUCGUGCUUAGGAUGCUGGCAUAAUGGCUUUAAUCGACCCGUCUUGAAACACGGACCAAGGAGUCUAACAUGCCUGCAAGUGUUUGAGUGGAAAACUCAUGCGCGUAAUGAAAGUAAAAAUUGGGAUCUCUAAUAGAGAGCACUGAUGCCCGGACCAGACCUUCUGUGACGGAUCCGCGGUUGAGCAUGUAUGUUGGGACCCGAAAGAUGGUGAACUAUGCCUGAAUAGGGUGAAGCCAGAGGAAACUCUGGUGGAAGCUCGCAGCGAUUCUGACGUGCAAAUCGAUCGUCAAAUUUGGGUAUAGGGGCGAAAGACUAAUCGAACCAUCUAGUAGCUGGUUCCUGCCGAAGUUUCCCUCAGGAUAGCAGAAACUCAUAUCAGAUUUAUGUGGUAAAGCGAAUGAUUAGAGGCCUUGGGGUUGUAACAACCUUAACCUAUUCUCAAACUUUAAAUAUGUAAGAACGAGCCGUCUCUUAAUUGGACCGCUCGAUGAUUGAGAGUUUCUAGUGGGCCAUUUUUGGUAAGCAGAACUGGCGAUGCGGGAUGAACCGAACGCGAGGUUAAGGUGCCGGAAUUCACGCUCAUCAGACACCACAAAAGGUGUUAGUUCAUCUAGACAGCAGGACGGUGGCCAUGGAAGUCGGAAUCCGCUAAGGAGUGUGUAACAACUCACCUGCCGAAUGAACUAGCCCUGAAAAUGGAUGGCGCUUAAGCGUGAUACCCAUACCUCGCCGUCAGUGUUAAAGUGAUGCAUUGACGAGUAGGCAGGCAUGGAGGUCAGUAAAGAAGCCUGGCAGUAA